UCUGCAGGGAUAGUGAUCUCUCUUUACUAUGCAAAGGUGGGAAAGAUGGUCAUUAGAAAGGUACAGGCCUUGGGGCACUGUUCUCAGCCCCAGGAGGAAUUCAAGCUUCUGGUUUACUAGGAUGAGACACUGAAGGGUCUUUAGUCUGGCAAGAUAACCUUUACCUUUAUGAUGACACUAUCCAAGACACUGGGUCACUUUGGAGUCCCUGACAAGACUCAUGUUUUGCCUCCGGAUUUCCAACCCAGUGCUUCUUCCUGCCUUACUUGCAAAGAUCCCCUUAACCAGGAGAAACUGAGUCCAGUUCUCCAGGGAUCAAGUCAAGAGUCUGGGCCAAUGAGUAGGAAGUGGAACAAACUAGCUGUUGAGGGUAACAUUUUUUAACCUGAUGGAUGAGGUUACCUAGGAAACCUUAGAAGUUUUCUGUGCAUUAGGGACCCUUCUUGCACUCCAUCUUUCUGUUUCUGCAGCCUACCAGAGAUUUACUCAGAUCUCCAGGGUUGUCUUGCCAAACCAAGGGAAGCCUCGGGAACUUAAGAGCCCUUCAUUCUUCAACAGAGCCAGAUGUUCAAGGCUAUUGUCUUACUGAGAAGUUAAAAAUUUUAUUUUGAAAGUCAUGGGCUGAACUUAAAAAGAAAAUAAACCUUUACUUUUUGUUCUGGGAAAUUUCACACGCACACACAGAUGUAAGAAAAGAAUGCAGCAAGCCUUUAUGGGGCUAUUAUAGCCUUGCAAAAUUAUUGACUACCUGGCCAGUUGUGUUUUAUAUCUAGCCCCUUUUCUAGUGCCCUCACCAUGAAGCAAAUCUCAGACAGCACUCCAUUUUAUUCACAAACACUUAGGAGAAGGAAGGAAGCAGUUAACCAAUACUAAGACUGUGUCAAGAAAGACUCCAGAAAUGACCCAGAUAGACUCACAUUGAUCAUGAUGAGUCAACUUUAACAUCAGGAGAUUAUUGCAAGAGAUUGUUGCUUCAGCCCAUCAACAGAAGUUCAUAAUGUUUCCACAACAACCCAACAGAUUGGUAACUGCUGAUGGCAGAGAGAACCAAUUCAUAUUGCAAAAGCACUUUAGAAAGAAGAAAACAAUCAUGCAUUUAUUCUACAAAUUUCUAUACAAAUGGAACCCGAGGGUCCUCAUUCAGCUUUUCCUUCCCUUGUUUUGACUUUAUUGACUGAGUAAUCCCCAUCUCCCCCAGGCAGCAGACACUAAGAAGAAGAAAGUGGGAAUAGCCUAAAUAUGUUAGCUGUGUACCAGUUUCCUCCAACAUUCAAACCUUUCACCUUAGUUAGCAAUUUAAAACAUAGAAUGUGAAAAGGGAGGCAAAACAGCAGAAUAUUUAAGACAGGAAGCUUACAGGGAAGUGAAACAAUUGGUAUUUUUAAGGGGAAGUGAAAUACCCCAUCCUACAGGGAAGCCGCUAAAGGCCUUAAGACCAGAAGUAAACAACCUAAGAUAGCUUCAGGAAGUCCCUGAAACAGACCAAAUUCACUACCCUCCCCCAAAGAGUAUAUAAGCUACUAAAGACUCCUCAGACCAACUAAGGGAAGGCUUGAGAUAAGACAAGGUCCAACGAAGUCUCCUAGACAAGCUUAGCUGCCUAGAAAGAGGCCUAGACCAGCCCAGCCACCUAGAAGAAGCAGAGAUCUGCUGAAGUGCCUUGAAGAAACAAAGACCAGCCAAGUUGCCUGCAAGAAGCUCAGACCAAAUUAGUGACAAACAUCUUCUAACUUACUGAGCUUCCUAAAGUCUGUGGAGCACAGUCCAGAUGUAGCAGCUCCUUCUCCAGCACCAUGCCUGCCUACAUGCUGCCGUGCUCUCCACCAUGAUGAUAAUGGACUAAACCUCUGAAACUAGAAGCAGGGCUUUGUUUGAAACAGAGAAGGAGAAAUGGAUGUUGGAUGAACAGCUAGCAGUAUUUGACAGCUUCAGCGUGUCUUCAUUUGGCAAUUGAACAAGAACUUGACAAUGAGCUGCCGUGAAAAUUGAGAAAACUGGAAGUGCAUCACUGUAGUGAUAGAGAGCCUUCACUUGUCUAUGACACCUGCCCUGAAGCCAGAGCCGAAGGACAGCUAUAUCCAUCCACUUGUUGCUUGAUCACCGGGACAUUCCUGAGAAAACUGGAGUUGCCAAACAGAAGCUUAAUCAACUCCUUUGUCAAGAGUCAGCAAUGAAGAAACCAAGGCCUUGCUCAACAUCAAACAGAUCACACUUGAGCCCAACAUCAUCUCCCAAGCCUGAGUUCUUAGCAGUUUUGCUCAUGGAAUAUGACAGACAAGAAUAUCACUGAGCUUAAGGGUUGCCUAGCACUGUCUGCCUCUUGGGUGCCAGGUAUAGAUGAUGGAAACAAGCCCAGCAAAGCAUCAACGGAAAAAAGAAGUAGGAAGUUUGUCAGAUGGACUCUGGUACAGCCCCACCAGUCUUGGCUUCUUUAAGUCGCUGAAGAUAGAAAUUGAAGAAGAUCAGAAAACGGAAAGAUCUUCCAUGCUCAUGGAUAAGUAGGAUUAACAUAGUAAAAAUGGCAGUCUUGCCAAAAGCCAUCUACAGAUUCAAUGAAAUCCCCCUCAAAAUCCCAACACAAUUCUUCACAGACCUGGAAAGAAUAAUACUCAACUUCAUUUGGAAAAACAGAAAACCCAGGAUAGCUAAAAGAAUCCUGUACAACAAAGCCACCUCUGGAGGCAUCACCAUCCCUGACUUCAAGCUAUACUAUAGAGCCAUAGUAAUAAAAACAGCUUGAUAUUGGCAUACAAACUGACAUGUGGACCAAUGGAAUCAAAUUGAAGACCCUGACAUUAACCCACACACCUAUGAACACCUGAUUUUUGACAAAGAAGCCAAGACUAUUUUUACAUUUAUUCAUCAAAUAAAUGAAACAGUAAGCAAAUAUUUCUAAAGAUAUGAGAAAUGAAAUUGUAAAAACUAAUUAAAUAUUGCACAUUCACCUC